GCCCGGGUGGCUCAGUCGGUUGAGCGUCUGAGUUCGGCUCAGGUCACCAUCUUGCGGUUCGUGGGUUCGAGCCCCGCGUCGGGCU
rnacentral:tRNA from 1 species